rnacentral:rRNA from 1 species
AUUUACAUGCCUACAACGUUAAUGCACCAGAUCCCAUUCGAAAUUUGCAGUUAAACACGUUGAGGAUAGAGUAGUACUGGGUUGGAUGAGUCCCAUGAAGUCUUAGUGUUUUACAUG